UACGUAGGGUGCAAGCGUUGUCCGGAAUUAUUGGGCGUAAAGAGCUCGUAGGCGGUCUGUCGCGUCUGCUGUGAAAACUCAGGGCUUAACCCUGAGCUUGCAGUGGGUACGGGCAGACUAGAGUGCGGUAGGGGAGACUGGAAUUCCUGGUGUAGCGGUGAAAUGCGCAGAUAUCAGGAGGAACACCGGUGGCGAAGGCGGGUCUCUGGGCCGAUACUGACGCUGAGGCGCGAAAGCCAGGGGAGCGAACGGG
rnacentral:rRNA from 1 species